GCGCAGUCCGCAGCCGCGGCUCCUCCCGACGCGCGCCCCGCCCUCCCCAGCUGUGCACCUUCGGUCCAGCUGCGCGCACGUCGGGAGUCCCAGACAUGUCCGCGGAGAGAGAGGUAGCCGAGGCGGCCACCGUGGUGGCGGCGGCCGAAGCAGGGGCCGGAGAAGACGCCUCUUCUCAGCCCCCGAAAGCCGAGGCCGCUGGCGACGCCCAGCCAUCCGCGACUUCCGAGGGGGCCGCCGCCGCGUCGCCGCCGCCGCCGCUGCGGUGCCUGGUGCUCACCGGCUUCGGUGGCUACGACAAGGUGAAGCUGCAGAGCCGGCCGGCUGUGUCCCCGGCCCCCGGUCCCGGCCAGCUGACGCUGCGCGUCCGGGCUUGCGGGCUCAACUUCGCCGACCUUAUGGCCCGGCAGGGGCUGUACGACCGGCUGCCGCCGCUGCCCCUCACUCCGGGCAUGGAGGGCGCCGGCGUCGUGAUCGCGGUGGGCGAGGGAGUCAACGACCGCAAGGUGAGCGGGACAGGGCAGGACAGGGAGAGGCUGCCCGGGCCACCGGGUCUCUGCUAG